UAUUCUUUAUUUCUUCUUUUUUUCCUAUUCAUGUUUUCCUCCUUUUCCUGUUUUUUUCCCCU
rnacentral:ribozyme from 16 species